GCGUACGACCAUACCACGCUGAAAGCACGCCAUCCCGUCCGAUCUGGCAAGUUAAGCAACGUUGGGCCUGGUUAGUACUUGGAUCGAAAACGGCUUGGGAAUCCCAGAUGUUGUAAGCU
rnacentral:rRNA from 1 species